GAUGAACGCUGGCGGCGUGCCUAAUACAUGCAAGUCGAGCGAACGGACGAGAAGCUUGCUUUUCUGAUGUUAGCGGCGGACGUGUGAGUAACACGUGGAUAACCUACCUAUAAGACUGGGAUAACUUCGGGAAACCGGAGCUAAUACCGGAUAAUAUUUUGAACCGCAUGGUUCAAAAGUGAAAGACGGUCUUGCUGUCACUUCUAGAUGGUUCCGAGCUGCAUUAGCUAGUUGGUAAGGUAACGGCUUAUCAAGGCAACGAUGCAUAGCCGACCUGAGAGAGUGAUAGGCGACCCUAGAACGGGGACACGGACAAGGCGACUAAGGGAGGCAGCAGAAGGGAAUGUUCGGCAGUGGGGGAGAGCAUGACGGAGCAGGGGCGAGUGAGUGAUGAAGGUCUUGGGAGCGUAAAACUCUGUUAUGAGGGAAGAACAUAUGUGUAAGUAACUGUGCACAUAGUGACGGUAACGAAUAAAAAAGCAACGGCUAACUACGUG
rnacentral:rRNA from 1 species